CUCUCCUGCUUUCUGUCUAUUUGUCCCACCUCAGUUUUCCCACAGUUCAGGUUCCAAAAACCUUGUUUCCAGGCCCAAAUUCCAGGCCCAGCCUCACCCAUUCCGGCUUCAAACUGAGAUAAACUAGGACAAAGUGAGAGGGGUAGCUCCUGGAUUUUUUGAAUUUAAAAAUCAUUAGUUAGAGUUUGAGCGUGAGAUAUCCUCCCCGGCUCUUGUGCUUGAUCCCAAACUCUGGCACUGUUUGAGAGGAUCGUUGGGAAUGUGAGGCCUGGCUAUCAGACGUAGGGGGUGAGGCUUGAGAGCCUGGCCUAGCUCUCUCUCUGAUGGAGCCCUGGUGGCCAUGCUUUCUCCACCACGAAAGACUAUUCCCCGUAAACCAUGUGAGAUAGAGACACUGGCCUGAAAUAUAUGCUUGAGGUCUACACUUACUUCCAUAGCAUCCCUGCACCAGGCACCUGACAUGCAGCCUGCUGUAAGAUGGCAAAGGGUAGUGAUGACAACAUCGGAAAUUAUGACGGUAUGUUUCUAAGCCAAAGGAGGAGGAGACCCCGUGAUUAAACACAGGAGGGUAUUUUGUAAUGGUUCUGGAGAGACUGAAUUUGAAUUAAAAAAAAAAAAAAAAGUCACAAAUGAGAAGAAAAGAUGCUGUGGC